rnacentral:rRNA from 1 species
GUGCCAGCAGCUGCGGUAAUACGGAGGGUGCAAGCGUUAUUCGGAAUGACUGGGCGUAAAGCGCACGCAGGCGGAUAAGUAAGUCAGAUGUGAAAGCCCCGGGCUUAACCUGGGAAUUGCAUUUGAAACUGCUUGUCUAGAGUAUGUCAGAGGAAGGCGGAACUUCCAGUGUAGCAGUGAAAUGCGUAGAUAUUGGAAAGAAACACCGAUGGCGAAGGCAGCCUUCGUGGGGCAAUACUGACGCUCAUGUGCGAAAGCGUGGG